UAAAGCAGACAUCUCGUCAGUCAUAGCCUGUCGCCACCCUGGAUGAGACAAUGCUUCACCUGUAGACUUAGGGAGGGCAACAGAGGACAAAGAAAAUAGAAAAGCAUAAUAGGGUGAUGACAAACGAUGAUAACUUAAACCGAUAUAAUGUGGAUUAGGAUUAAGGGUGUUCCGUAUACCUUCCCGAAGUGCAAUCGGAAGAGACAAGUCCGCAGUAAGAGCAGGGUCAGGUGCAGGAAGUAAAUCAGCCGGGCCGGAUGCUGGGCGAGGACGACGAUGAUAUGUCAAGGGUGGAGUGUCUUCUGCAGGGAGUCUAGGAGGAGCCACAGUAGAUGGUCCAAUGCUUGGAAUGGAUAAGACUUCUGUAGCGGAAGGUGAAGGAGGAGAUAUAGUAGACUCCCUAAAGG
rnacentral:lncRNA from 1 species